CCCGCCAGACCAGUCGUUGUAUACGUGAGUUGUCCGGGACAACCCGCCGCUGGGCGGACCUAGAUCGAGAAGGAUCGAAAGGCCGUAUACAAGAAUUAUCUGGGAUAAUUUGCUCGCACACUCUACAGCCUCAAACGGUGAGGAUCCCCCUGAGAGAAAGUCGUCCUCGACGUACAAGUGGGGUGAGUGGUGGAGCCGGUCUGGGGGCAAACCGGGAGAGUGGACUAUCACCGAGACAUCGUUGGUCCCCUCGCUGCAACCGGGAGACUGGAUCCUGAUUAAAGACGUAAAAAGAAAGACCUGGCAUCACCCUAAAUGGAAGGGACCGUUUCAAGUCCUCCUGACUACUCCCACCACCGCUGUUAAAAUUGCAGAAAGAACUACUUGGAUACAUUUGACACAUUGUAAAAA